rnacentral:rRNA from 1 species
UACGUCGGGUGCGAGCGUUGUCCGGAAUUAUUGGGCGUAAAGAGCUCGUAGGCGGUGUGUCACGUCGUUCGUGAAAACCUGCAGCUUAACUGUGGGCGUGCGGUCGAUACGGGCAUCACUGGAGUUCGGCAGGGGAGACUGGAAUUCCUGGUGUAGCGGUGAAAUGCGCAGAUAUCAGGAGGAACACCGGUGGCGAAGGCGGGUCUCUGGGCCGAUACUGACGCUGAGGAGCGAAAGCGUGGGGAGCAAACAGG